GUGGGUAUUGUGACAUAUUACCAUGAUCAACAGCUAAAUGAUGUGACUCUUUUCUGCUGAUUGAGCCCUGCUUAUAGGGGGCAUUGUGACAUUUAGCUUGGCCUUGAACCCAGAUGAUUUAACUCUCCUAUCUGGGCUUUGCCUAUGGAGAACUCUGUGACAUAUCUCUGCACCCAUCAUCUAGGUGAAGUGACUCUCCUCUCCUGUCUUGUUCUGGCUCAAAGAAGGGAAUGUAACAUCACUGGACCCAGCACCUAGGAAGAUUUCCACGUAUUUCUGGGCCCAGCACCUAGGUAACGGGACUCUUCUGCCGAAGCACUGCUUACACAAGCCAUUGUGAUGUAUUCCUAGGCCCAAGACACAAUGAUGUGACUUUUCACUUCUGCUUGGACCCUACACAAAGGUGGCACUGUGAUAUAUCAUGGGGCUCAUCACCUAGAUGAUGUAAUUCUUCUUUUGCUUGGGCCUUGCCCACAAAAUAAAUAGUGACAUAUUGCUGGGCAUAGCACCUAGGUGAUGUGAUACAUCUGCUCUGGCCUGUACCACAAAGGGCACUGUGACAUAUUCCUGAAUUUAGUGCUCAGGAGAUGUGACCCUGGGGCCAGAGCUGAGUCCACAAGUGGAUUGAGAUGUAUUCCUUGCCCAGAACCUAGGUGACAUGACUCUUUCUUCCUGCAUGGGCCCUGACUUCUGUGAGGAUUUUGACAAUAUUACUGCGCCCUACACCCAAAUGAUGUGACUCUGCUGCCUGAGUUCUGUCAAAGGAGGGAUUGUGACCUAUCCAAUAGGCCAGAACCUACAUGACUUUCC
rnacentral:lncRNA from 1 species